rnacentral:sRNA from 1 species
GUUUCAAUUCCUCAUAGGCAGGCUAUCGGCAUCUAUUUCCAAGAUGAGGAAGGGACCUUUCUUAAGG